UUCGCAAUGCCCGAAAGGGUGACGAAGCGGCGCCGCGUGCGGGAAGAAGGCCUUUGGGUUGUAAACCGCUGUCGGGAGUUAAGAAGUGCAAGGGUGUUAAUAGCAUCUUUGCUUGACUAAGGCUCCGGAGGAAGCCACGGCUAACUCUGUGCCAGCAGCCGCGGUAAUACAGAGGCGGCAAGCGUUGUUCGGAAUUAUUGGGCGUAAAGAGCACGUAGGCGGCUAUGCAAGUCGGUUGUGAAAGCCUUCCGCUCAACGGAAGAACGGCAUCCGAUACUGCAUGGCUCGAGUGCGGGAGGGGAGAGUGGAACUUCUGGUGGAGCGGUGAAAUGCGUAGAUAUCAGAAGGAACACCGGCGGCGAAAGCGACUCUCUAGCCCGUAACUGGCGCUGAGUGUGCGAAAGCUAGGGGAGCAAACGGGAUUAGAUACCCCGGUAGUCCUAGCCGUAAACGAUGGGCACUAAGUAGAGGGGUUUU
rnacentral:rRNA from 1 species